UAGGACGUGUUUUAUGCCACUUCUUUUUCUGUCUCAUUUUGUCCACCACACUUUUAACGUUGUACGUGAGUGCACAAAGAUAAGCACCAUGUAUCACCUGAGGGUACCUGCGCUCUUACUACUGCUGCUUGUGUUGCUGCACUGCACCGCUGCUGCCCCCCGACACAGGACCAUUGUCGACAUCAUCAUGCCUCUAACACCAACGACAUCAUCAUCCAUCUAACACCAACGACAUCAUCAUGCCUCUAAAAGUGCUUCCCACUUCUGAUGCAGACACUUCAGGUCCAGCUCACUCGGCCGAGAGGAGAACAUUCUGCCAGAUGACACCACGCCCAAGUUCCUGCUCUCCAAGAACCUCUUUGGACUCAUGGCCACACGCUCACAGCGCGGCCUGGCAGACAGAACCAGCCAUCCAGUGGAGAAGAAGAAGUGCAAGACGGCCACAUGUGUCACGCAGAGGUUAGCAGACUUCCUGGUGCGCUCCAGUAAUACCAUAGGGGCGGUGUACGCUCCCACCAACGUGGGCUCGGCCGCCUACGGCAAGAGGGAGCUACCAGGCCACUACCGUCCCCUCUAGUGGCGUCCAUCUCUGACCCCAUGUUUGCUUUCCCCUCCACUUUUCUUUGUUUUGUUUGGGCCGCUGCUUGACAGUAACAUGCUCUGGCAAUAAAAUUAUCGACAAAAACAAAGUGUGAAGC